CGUCGCACGGCUGAACCGAAAAAAGGUUAAAUUUGACGCGCCGACGAACGAAUCGUUCGUUGCAAUGGAAUUCAACCCGAAAAGGAAGGAUUCUCCGUCAACUCGGCCACUUUUUUUUCGACCAUCUCAGAUCUGCCCCAUAAUUGGUUACAUCAAAGUACUACUAGAAGGAUAAUCCGUCGUAACCGUUGGACGGACGCAAUGUCACAUGCCGCGAGGAUAUCUUCAUGGAAUGGUGAACUAUGUUCAAAUGACAUUACUUCGCAAUGGAUGUUAGAAACUCCCAUCAACCGGGAGAAGGAAACUGUUUCGCACAACCCGCAGCUUCAUAGUUACCUCGAAUCUCAGAUACUAAUUCCUUGCAUUUAAUAUUUCAGAGGGUAUAAAAAUAAUCCUCAACGUCGAUGUCAACAAUUGUUUCAUAUAUCCAUAGUAACAUGAAUAAAGUGUUCCAAUAUUAUAUAUAAUCAUUUUUUGAAACCCUUUUCACUAGUAAAAUAGCUUCGAACAUAAAAUUAUUUCAUUAUUGUCAGUAGAGUUGUGUGUAACAAGCGAUGUACAAUUUCAGAAUGAUUCCGAUACAGUAAUACCCCGAAGUUACGCUAUGGGUCGUUCCG
rnacentral:lncRNA from 1 species